AGAGUUUGAUCCUGGCUCAGAUUGAACGCUGGCGGCAUGCCUUACACAUGCAAGUCGAACGGCAGCACGGGAGCAAUCCUGGUGGCGAGUGGCGAACGGGUGAGUAAUAUAUCGGAACGUGCCCAGUCGUGGGGGAUAACGCAGCGAAAGCUGUGCUAAUACCGCAUACGAUCUCUGGAUGAAAGCGGGGGACUCGCAAGGGCCUCGCGCGAUUGGAGCGGCCGAUAUCAGAUUAGCUAGUUGGUGGGGUAAAAGCCCACCAAGGCGACGAUCUGUAGCUGGUCUGAGAGGACGACCAGCCACACUGGAACUGAGACACGGUCCAGACUCCUACGGGAGGCAGCAGUGGGGAAUUUUGGACAAUGGGCGCAAGCCUGAUCCAGCAAUGCCGCGUGCAGGAUGAAGGCCUUCGGGUUGUAAAC
rnacentral:rRNA from 1 species